rnacentral:misc_RNA from 1 species
GUAUUUGAUUCGACCGAUUACAAGAGAAUCGAGACGAAGGUUCAGUCCAAAACAAAAGGUUCAAAAGAUGCGUGAGUUUGAAAAAAACUCUGACAGGCCGAGGCCAAAAGAGACCUCCUCGGCGCCUUCGAUAGAUGAUUAUUAUAUCAGGCCAUCGAAGGCUCCUUUCCUGCCAAAGCGAACGGUCAAUGAGUGCACACGAGGUGGAUAUGGAUUUGAUCGUCCAUAUUUUGGAAUCGACCUUUUUUAAUGAUCCUUCCGCAGGUUCACCUACGGAAA